rnacentral:misc_RNA from 1 species
AAUUCUCAACCCUUCUAGCUUUUGUGAGCUGUGAUAGGGCUUGGAACUUGGGAGUUUGCGGGCCUAUAGAAGGUCGGCUCUUCUGAAAUGCAUUAGCGGAACCGUUUGCAGUCCCGUCACUAGUGUGAUAAUUAUCUACACUGUGAUGAUUGCUCUCUAGUUUGUUCAGCUGCUAAUUGUCCAUCAUCGGACAACUCUUUAAUGAACC